AUUAAACGCUGGCGGCAUGCCUUACACAUACAAGUCGAACGGCAGCACGGGGGGCAACCUUGGUGGCGAGUGGCGAACGGGUGAGUAAAGCAUCGGAACGUGCCCUGGAGUGGGGGAUAACGUAGCGAAAGUUACGCUAAUACCGCAUAUUCUGUGAGCAGGAAAGCAGGGGAUCGCAAGACCUUGCGCUCUGGGAGCGGCCGAUGUCGGAUUAGCUAGUUGGUGGGGUAAAGGCCUACCAAGGCGACGAUCCGUAGCGGGUCUGAGAGGAUGAUCCGCCACACUGGGACUGAGACACGGCCCAGACUCCUACGGGAGGCAGCAGUGGGGAAUUUUGGACAAUGGGCGAAAGCCUGAUCCAGCCAUGCCGCGUGAGUGAAGAAGGCCU
rnacentral:rRNA from 1 species